GAUUAAGCUUAUAAAGGGCAAAUGGUGGAUGCCUUGGGUAGUAGAGGCGAUGAAGGACGUACUAGACUGCGAUAAGCUAUGGGGAGCUGUCAAGAAGCUUUGAUCCAUAGAUCUCCCAAUGGGGCAACCCAGCUAGUAGUAAUACUAGCUAUGUGAGUAACAAAGAAUAGAAAGAAGAUCUAAGAAUCCUUUCUAGUUUUAAACUUUGUUAAGAGAUUUAAUCUUUAAAAUGGAAUCAUCAUUUACACAGAAAUAAAAUUACUUUAAAAGUGUAGAGAUUCUGUUUGGGUUCUAUUAGAUACUAUAUUAGACUCCAUUAGAUACUAAAUUAGACUUUACUUGGAUACUAUUAGAUAUUAAAUUAGUUUCCUACUAAAUUAGAUUCCCUAAUAGAUUCUAUUUAGACUCCAUUUAGUUUUCAUUAAUAAAGAAUGAUUCAUCUUUUUAGUAAAUACUAUAAAAGAUUGGUAAAGACUAAUAAAGAACCAAUUAAAGACUAAUAAAGACCAACAAAGAUUAUAAAAGAUUAUUUAGAUAUUUAAAUAAACUAUAGAAUAUCUUUUAGAAUAUCUUAGUUUUUAGUUUUAAAAACAUAAAAUCUUUUCUAUUCUUUGUUGCUCACAGGCAAACCUAGUGAAGUGAAACAUCUCAGUAACUAGAGGAAAAGAAAUCAAA
rnacentral:rRNA from 1 species